rnacentral:rRNA from 1 species
GACGAACGCUGGCGGCGUGCUUAACACAUGCAAGUCGAGCGGUAAGGCCCUUUCGGGGGUACACGAGCGGCGAACGGGUGAGUAACACGUGGGUGACCUGCCCUCAGCUCUGGGAUAAGCCUGGGAAGCCGGGUCUAAUACUGGAUAUGACUCCAUGACGCAUGUUGUGGGGUGGAAAGCCUUGUGCGGCUGAGGAUGGGCCCGCGGCCUAUCAGCUUGUUGGUGGGGUGAUGGCCUACCAAGGCGACGACGGGUAGCCGGCCUGAGAGGGCGACCGGCCACACUGGGACUGAGACACGGCCCAGACUCCUACGGGAGGCAGCAGUGGGGAAUCUUGCGCAAUGGGCGAAAGCCUGACGCAGCGACGCCGCGUGAGGGAUGACGGCCU